AUGUCUAAUACGGUGAAGCUCGGGAGAGAUUUAGGACAAGGAGGCAUGGAGUUUGUUGACAUCCCAACCAAGCAUUUGCUGGAGCAGUUUGUGGCACUCGUUGGUUUCCCUUCACCAGUUCUUUGCUGGAGGCCUGCUCCUGAUAGACUGUACAUCGUGGGAGUUCAGGUCGAUCUUGGUCUAGAAGACAGGGUUCCUCAUGUGUACUAUGAGGCUACUAGAGCAACUAUUCCUGAGGCUGAGCAGGCUGCCUGCCUGAUGGUGAUUCACGCCGUAGCUGCUGAACGUAAUGUGGAAAUUAGGGAUAUUAACUACUAUCAGCUGGGGUACCUGCGCCAUCAGGUGGAUGAUCUACGCAAGAAGUUGAUGGAGGCUGAGCAUCUUUGCGCUGAGCCGAUGAACAUCGUUCGCUCCAGUGAGAGUGAGGUCUCCUUCCUGGAGCGCCUCACUCACAGUUUCUGCCGUUGCAUUCUCUGCCCGAGGGACACUGUGGCUGCACUGCAGCAUGGUGGUAUCAGAAGUUCCAGCCCCGGAAGUUCCAGCGGCAGUGUGUGA
rnacentral:rRNA from 1 species